rnacentral:rRNA from 1 species
UACAGAGGGGGCAAGCGUUGUUCGGAAUUACUGGGCGUAAAGGGCGCGUAGGCGGCCGCCUAAGUCAGACGUGAAAUCCCUCGGCUCAACCGGGGAACUGCGUCUGAUACUGGGUGGCUUGAAUUCGGGAGAGGAAUGCGGAAUUCCAGGUGUAGCGGUGAAAUGCGUAGAUAUCUGGAGGAACACCGGUGGCGAAGGCGGCAUUCUGGACCGAUAUUGACGCUGAGGAGCGAAAGCCAGGGGAGCAAACGGG